rnacentral:lncRNA from 1 species
AAACCACGCAUUCAAAAUAAUGCUAACCUGUCAAGUUAUUGAUCUGCACUGUACAUAUUUCCUGGUCAUAGGCAGCUUCCACACAAGAACAUCUGGAUGCAAAUUAAAGAAUUCAAUUACUCAAGUCUAAGUGAUGAUAGAGGAGACCUCGGCUACUCUGCCUGAGCACAUCACUGCUGGAUCUCAAAAUCUGCAAGAACUUCCUCCUGAAGGUCCACCAUGCCCAGCUUCAUCUCCCCACCCUCUGGAAACUCUCCUGUACCCAAGCCACUUGCUCUCUUCUAAACAGGCAUUGUGUUCCCAUGUUCCCAUGUGUCUGCCUCUUUCAACUUCUCCUCUAAAAAUUCUCCAUGACCCCCAAGCAUAAGCCUCCAGCAGCAAGCUCAAAAAUGCUUUCUACUCUGUUGUGUUGCCCGGCCCACUUCAAGAGUAGAUGCUCAAUUCCUUCUUCCCCUCGUCGUAUUUGCUGCUACUUUUGCAGGCUGCUGGAACACUUUCACUCUGAGGAUUCUGAUGAACACAGUUCUUGCCCUCUUCACUUUUCCAAUCUGGGUGCAGGCACAGCGGGGGACAGCAGGAGUGCAACACAGUAACUUAAUACAAUAUGGAGUUGCUAUUAUGGAGGGAAAUAUUCACUGCUCUGAAAGGACUCAACGUCACCUGACUCCUGCUGCUGAGCUUCUCUGACAUUUUCUCAAGGGCUCAAGGCUUGGAUACCCUC